GCCCUAACAAACCCUGCCUUCCUCCUCCCAUUUCCCCACAGACCCCUGCGUCUUGCUUCCAGAUCUUGCAGGUGCAGAGGCGGCCAUGGAUUCGGUGACCUAGAUCGAGAAACGUCCAGUGCAGGCAGUAAGCUUGUUGGAUUACGUCAGUAGGAUCUCAGGCCGUAUAUGAGCCAAUUACUUGGGUUGAUGGCGCUACCUCCUCUCAACAAAAAAAGGCUGCUGAAGAGCAUGUGUUCAGGCUAUUUUCUAAUAAAUCUAACUCUCUAGGUUCAAGCUAUCGAUACUUGCUGGAGAUGAGACUGGUGACACUGAUUUCAUUCUUUUUGGACGUCAAGCUCAACGGCUUGUCAAAAAAAAACAGCUGAUACCCUUGUGGCUGAUAACCCAAUUGGUUUUAUCCCAGAUGAACUUACAAGGCUUCUCGAAAAGACUUUCACAUGGAGCGUCGGUUUUAUAGACAGCACAACAGACUCAGACAAAAUCACCUUUUAAGUUAAUGCAAUAGUGGGAGAGGUGAAUGAGGGUGGUGCUGUCAUUCCAGCAACACCAGGAGCAUCCCAAACAUCAUCUACUAUGUCCUCUUUGCUUGCUGCUACUGAAGCUAGCCUUCCCUCAAACACCACACCAACUAAAAUAACAUUGGGUGUUCCUGAGCCAGCGGACACUCCACAGAGUACAAGGAACAAUGCUCAUGAUCAGGAUAAGACCUUGAUUGCUGCUCCAGAUGCACCUGGUAAUUCCUCUACAAAGACACAAAAAAGCACUACAAAAAAGGUCCCGUCCAUCCCCUAGGAAGAAAGUUGCUAAGAAGCUAUUUACUGGUGAAGAAACUGCAGAUGACGGUGGUGGCAAUGACAGUGGUGCAGCCACCUCUAGCCAGAACAGGGAUGCAUGAGCAGUGAAAUUCAUGUUGAUUCUGUCUCUACCAGUUGCUUUUUGUGUACCCUUUGUCUGGCAAGAAGGGUUCGAUGCUUAGGAUUUGGAGUCUGCAUGGACCUCGCAAACUGUGUAGUAUGGUCAGUUAGUAUUCAAAGCUACCAGCUAGGUUGUUUGGUAGCUAUGGAUACUUGUUGUUGCAUGUUGAUUUAUAGAUGCCUCAGAUGUGCUGUAAUAUUGCUGCUCCAAAUGCCGGAUAGACACCUACUCCCUCCGUCCUAAAAUGUAAGUCAUUCUGCUUUGUCCUAAGUCAAAGUAGUCUAAGUUUGACCAAAUUUAUAGAGAAGAAUACUAACAUCUAAGACAUCAAAUAACUAAAUUAAGAAAUUAUAUUUCAUUGUGGAUCUAAUUAUUCUUAUUUGACAUUCAAAAUAUUAUUACUUUUUUCUAUAAACUUGGUCAAAUUUGGAACAGUUUGAUUUAGGACAAACCAAAAUGACUUACAUUUCAGGAUAGAUGGAGUAUAUAUCCUGAUGAUGACAGGAUAAAUUUGUGCUUGGAUGUAAACAUGGUGAUUGAAUGUGUUGUGAUGUUCACGAUUGAGAUGCCGGACAAACACCAUAGGAGAGCCUGGUGAUGCGGAUGUCUUGUAAUAUUCACUAUUCAAUUGCCGGUCAGACACCUAAUGGCUAGGAUAGUUUGGUGCUCGGAUGUGUUGUAAUAUUUAUGAUUCAAAUGCUGGAUAGACACAUAUAUUAAUCUGUUGAUGGUGUGCUUGCUUCCA